rnacentral:rRNA from 1 species
GAUUAACGCUGGCGGUGCGCCUAACACAUGCAAGUCGAACGAGGAAAGGGAAUGAGUAAUCAUUCCUGAUUACUAGUGGCGAAUGGGUGAGUAACGCGUAAGUAACCUACCUAUUGGCGGGGAAUAACAGUGCGAAAGUGCUGCUAAUACCGCAUAAGUUGGAUAUGUGCAGGCAUAUUCAAGAAAGGUGCAUUUGCAUCACCGAUAGAGGGACUUGCGUUCUAUUAGCUUGUUGGUGAGGUAAUGGCUCACCAAGGCUACGAUGGAUAGCUGGCUUGAGAGAGUGGUCAGCCACAUUGGCACUGAGACACGGGCCAAACUCCUACGGGAGGCAGCAGUGAGGAAUUCUCCGCAAUGGGGGAAACCCUGACGGAGCGACACCGCGUGAGGGGUGAAGGCUUUCGAGUUGUAAACCUCUGUUGUAACGGACGAAUAAGCCGAUGAAGGGAAAGUAUCGGCGAUGACGGUACGUUACGAGGAAGCCCCGGCUAAUUACGUGCCAGCAGCCGCGGUAAAACGUAAGGGGCUAGCGUUAUCCGAAAUUACUGGGCGUAAAGGGUGCGUAGGCGGUUUAAUAAGUCAUGUUUGAAAUCCAUCGGCUCAACUGAUGGAGGAGGCAUGAAACGAUUAGACUUGAGGCUAACAAAGGGAGAUGGAAUUGCCGGUGUAGAGGUGGAAUUCGUUGAUAUCGGUAAGAACGCCAGUGGUGAAAACGGUCUCCUGGGUUGGUACUGACGCUGAGGCACGAAAGCUAAGGUAGCAAACGGGAUUAGAUACCCCGGUAGUCUUAGCCAUAAACGAUGCUCACUAAGUGUAGGGGUUGUAGAACUUCUGCGCUGCAGCUAACGCGAUAAGUGAGCCGCCUGGGGAGUACGACCGCAAGGUUGAAACUCAAAGGAAUUGACGG